UCAAGGAACUUCCUAGUAAGCGCAAGUCAUCAGCUUGCGUUGAUUACGUCCCUGCCCUUUGUACACACCGCCCGUCGCUACUACCGAUUGAAUGGCUUAGUGAGGCUUCCGGAUUGGUUUAGAGAAGGGGGCAACUCCAUCUUGGAACCGAGAAGCUAGUCAAACUUGGUCAUUUAGAGGAAGUAAAAGUCGUAACAAGGUUUCCGUAGGUGAACCUGCGGAAGGAUCAUUACAGAAUGAAAAGUGCUUAACUGCAUUUUUUCUUACACAUGUGUUUUUCUUUUUUUGAAAACUUUGCUUUGGUAGGCCUUCUAUAUGGGGCCUGCCAGAGAUUAAACUCAACCAAAUUUUAUUUAAUGUCAACCGAUUAUUUAAUAGUCAAAACUUUCAACAACGGAUCUCUUGGUUCUCGCAUCGAUGAAGAACGCAGCGAAAUGCGAUAAGUAAUAUGAAUUGCAGAUAUUCGUGAAUCAUCGAAUCUUUGAACGCACAUUGCGCCCUUUGGUAUUCCAAAGGGCAUGCCUGUUUGAGCGUCAUUUCUCCCUCAAACCCUCGGGUUUGGUGUUGAGCGAUACGCUGGGUUUGCUUGAAAGAAAGGCGGAGUAUAAACUAAUGGAUAGGUUUUUUCCACUCAUUGGUACAAACUCCAAAACUUCUUCCAAAUUCGACCUCAAAUCAGGUAGGACUACCCGCUGAACUUAAGCAUAUCAAUAAGCGGAGGAAAAGAAACCAACAGGGAUUGCCUUAGUAGCGGCGAGUGAAGCGGCAAAAGCUCAAAUUUGAAAUCUGGCACUUUCAGUGUCCGAGUUGUAAUUUGAAGAAGGUAUCUUUGGGUCUGGUCUUGUCUACGUUG
rnacentral:rRNA from 1 species